rnacentral:ribozyme from 14 species
UUUUUUUUUUUUUUUUUUCACUUUCUAUUUCUUUUUUGAAAAGGGAGUGAUAUGAGGGGAAAGUGGAAGAAAAAGAGGAUGAGGCGUUUGAAGAGGAAAAG